CUAUUUUGUGCCGAAAGAACGCGGCUUUAUGAGGAAAGACACCAAGUCAUCAAUGUGGGAAUUUUUUAAUGCUCAAAACAGCAUUAAUGGAAACCUUGACAGUGAUUUGGCACAUGGAUGCUGCCAUGACCUUAAACCCCUGGUGGCAACUGGACCUGUUUAAUAACUACAAAGUGUUCCACAUGACCAACAGAAAGAACAUGAAUUAUUACAGCAGACUCAAUGGAGCUGAGAUCCGCAUCAUAGAUUCCCUGGAUGACAACAAUGACAACAACAAUCCCAGGUGUGCUGUUCUCUCCUCUAUCCCAGCUCCCAGUGUAACAGGAUGGAGGGUCGAUACAUCAGCGUGGUCAUUCCAGGAAGAAGUGAACACCUGACCCUGUGUGAGGUGGAGGGUCACCACUGGACUGACAGAUCCAGAGCAUUUAUUCCCAUAACUUAGUCUGAAGCACAGGAUACAAUUUUCUGGGCUCAACAUACUUAGAUGUUUUAUAUUGUAGGUAACAUUCUUUCUGUAAGAUAUUUUGAUAGGAAUAUUACAGUCUUUUUAAUUCUCAAAACCAAGUAAUUAGUUAAGUCACAUGCGCAAGCACACGCACACGUACUCACACAUGCACGCACAUAUACACACACACUUGGUGAUGUAUAAGAGUGUGGAUUGCAAUUGCACCAGGACCGUAGAUGUAAGGAAACAUUGAACUAAUUGAAUAAUUGACACCUACCACAAAUCUAAAUUAAUUUAGUCAUCAACUGCAGUAAAAUAUCUGAUGUGGAAUAAGUAUACAUGCAGUAUGUUGCCUGGUUCCUGUACAUGAUCUUGAGAUUAUAUGUGUAGUAAUGUUAACAACUACUCUGUUACAUGUUUAACACGUGUACAUGUUUCCUGUUAUACCCUUCCAUAUCAUUAUAUCCUGAUCAUUCAAUUAUACUGCAUAGCUCCAUAAAUUGGAAUCACGUUUUAGCUGUUUAUCGCCAAGAUUGCUCAGCCUUAUCUAUUCUGAUAAUAGCACGUGCUACAAAUGUACAUGUAGAAAACAAAGAUCACAAGGUCAUUAACUUGUUGACUGGGGUAUAAAUAACUCUGUCAGACUCAGCUUAGUCUACAUAGCUUUCACCUACAUCAAAAUCACAUCAACAUCAACAGUGACUUCAUUAUUUUGAGUGUGAAGGUAAGAGGAUAUGACAAUCUAAUACUAAUUGGAAUUGCUUUAUAUUCUAUUGUAUUUUCUGUCUUACUACAACCUUAUAUCAACCCUUGAUUUACAUAACAGUUAAAGCAUAAUAUUAGUGUAAAGAUUCAGCAGUGAAUGGUAUUGUAGAUUUCAUCAAACCUGACAUGAAUAACUUUUUUUGUGGUAUUGUAUUUUAUACAACUAAACAACUUACAUUGAAGUCGGGAGUUUACAUACACCUUAGCCAAAUGCAUUUAAACUCAGUUUUUCCCAAUUCCUGACAUUUCAUCCUAGUAAACAUUCCCUGUGUCAUGUAUUGUCAUGUUGUGUCUUGUUUCUGUCCUUUCCCUUCACCCUGCCUCCCUCUGCUGGUCGUUAUUAGGUUACCUUUUCUCCCCCUCUUUCCCCCAGCUGUUCCUUGUCUCCUCCUAACUACCUCGUCACCCCUUUUCCCACCUGUUCCCUUUUUCCCUCUGAUUAGUCCUCUAUAUCUCUCUCUGUUUUUGUUUCUGUCUUUGUCGGAUUCUUGUUUGUGUUAUUCAUGCCUGAACCAGACUAUCGUCAUGUUUGCUGCAACCUUGUCCUGUCCUGUCGGAAUCUGCCGGUCCAUCUGAGCCUACGUAUGUUUUGUUAUUAAAGAAGCCCUGUUUACGUUAGUUCGCUUUUGGGUCCUCAUUCACGCACCAUAACAGAAGAAUCCGACCAAGAAUGGACCCAGCGACUUCGGAUCCUCUCCACUCAGCCGUCGAGAUCCAGGGAGCGAUGCUAG
rnacentral:lncRNA from 13 species